rnacentral:rRNA from 1 species
UACGUAGGGUGCGAGCGUUGUCCGGAAUUAUUGGGCGUAAAGGGCUCGUAGGCGGUCUGUCGCGUCGAAAGUGAAAACCCAGGGCUUAACCCUGGGCCUGCUUCCGAUACGGGCAGACUAGAGGUAUGCAGGGGAGAACGGAAUUCCUGGUGUAGCGGUGAAAUGCGCAGAUAUCAGGAGGAACACCAGUGGCGAAGGCGAGUCCCUGGACAACACCUGACACUGAGGCACGAAAGCUAGGGGAGCAAACAGG